UGGGGAAUAUUGCACAAUGGGGGAAACCCUGAUGCAGCGACGCCGCGUGAACGAAGAAGGUAUUCGUAUCGUAAAGUUCUGUCCUAUGGGAAGAUAAUGACAGUACCAUAGAAGAAAGCUCCGGCUAAAUACGUGCCAGCAGCCGCGGUAAUACGUAUGGAGCGAGCGUUGUCCGGAAUUAUUGGGCGUAAAGGGUACGCAGGCGGGUUAAUAAGUCGAAUGUUAAAGAUCGGGGCUCAACCCCGCAAAGCAUUGGAAACUGAUAAACUUGAGUAGUGGAGAGGAAAGUGAAAUUCCUAGUGUAGUGGUGAAAUACGUAGAUAUUAGGAGGAAUACCAGUAGCGAAGGCGACUUUCAGGACAAAAACAGACGCUGAGGUACGAAAGCGUAGGGAGCAAACAGG
rnacentral:rRNA from 1 species